rnacentral:rRNA from 1 species
GAUCUUUGGCAAUUGGCGAAAGCCUUACGCAGCCAUGCCGCGUUAAUGAUUAAGGGCUUUGGAUUGUCCCAUUCUUUCACCGGGGACGAUAAUGACGGUACCCGUUGAAGAAGCCCCGGCUAUCUUCGCGCCAGCAGCCGCGGUAAUACGAAGGGGGCUAGCGUUGCUCGGAAUUACUGGGCGUAAAGGGCGCGUAGGCGGCGAUUUAAGUCAGGGGUGAAAUCCCAGAGCUCAACUCUGGAACUGCCUUUGAUACUGGGUGUCUUGAGUGUGAGAGAGGUAUGUGGAACUCCGAGUGUAGAGGUGAAAUUCGUAGAUAUACGGAAGAACACCAGUGGCGAAGGCGACAUACUGGCUCAUUACUGACGCUGAGGCACGAAAGCGUGGGGAGCAAACAG